AGUGGUUAGGAGUUUGGCUGCUAACCAAAAGGUUGGCAGUUCAAAUCUACCAGCCACUC
rnacentral:tRNA from 1 species